rnacentral:rRNA from 1 species
GACAGAGGGUGCAAACGUUGUUCGGAAUCACUGGGCAUAAAGCGCACGUAGGCGGUCCGUUAAGUCAGAUGUGAAAGCCCCCGGCUCAACCGGGGAAUUGCAUCUGAUACUGGCGGGCUCGAGGAUGGCAGGGGUGAGCGGAACUCCAGGUGGAGCGGUGAAAUGCGUAGAUAUCUGGAGGAACACCGGUGGCGAAAGCGGCUCACUGGACCAUAUCUGACGCUGAGGUGCGAAAGCUAGGGUAGCAAACGGG